GAUGAACGCUGACAGAAUGCUUAACACAUGCAAGUCAUUGGCGAAGCUGCGCUUGCGCAGUCUAGCCAAGGCGGACGGGUGAGUAACGCGUAAGGAACUUGCCCUGCAGACAGGGAUAACAGACGGAAACGACUGAUAACACCUGGUAUUGUCAGGCUGGCGCAUGCCGGCCUGAUGAAAGGAGACGCUGCAGGAGAGCCUUGCGUCCUAUUAGCUAGUUGGUGGGGUAACGGCCCACCAAGGCGAUGAUAGGUAGCCGGCCUGAGAGGGUGAACGGCCACAAGGGGAAUGAGAUACGGCCGUUACUCCUACGGGAGGCAGCAGUGGGGAAUAUUGGACAAUGGAGGCAACCCUGAUCCAGCAAUUCUGUGUGCACGAAGAAGGUUUUCGGAUUGUAAAGUGCUUUCAGCAGGGAAGAAGAAAGUGACGGUACCUGCAGAAGAAGCGACGGCUAAAUACGUG
rnacentral:rRNA from 1 species